rnacentral:rRNA from 1 species
GUGCCAGCCGCCGCGGUAAUACGGAGGGUGCAAGCGUUAUCCGGAUUCAUUGGGUUUAAAGGGUGCGCAGGCGGAUAAUUAAGUCAGUGGUGAAAUCCCGGGGCUCAACCUCGGAACUGCCAUUGAUACUGAUAAUCUGGAAUACGGUUGAAGUGGGCGGAAUGUAGCAUGUAGCGGUGAAAUGCAUAGAGAUGCUACAGAACACCGAUCGCGAAGGCAGCUCACUAAGCCGAUAUUGACGCUCAGGCACGAAAGCGUGGGGAGCGAACAGGAUUAGAUACCCUGGUAGUCCACGCCGUAAACGAUGAUAACUCGUUGUUGGCGAUAUACAGUCAGCGACUAAGCGAAAGCGAUAAGUUAUCCACCCGGGGAGUACGAUCGCAAGGUUGAAACUCAAAGGAAUUGACGG